CAACAAGAAUAAUUUCCGGUAGCAUUGAAAAGGUUUGGUGAGGCAGGCAUCCCUGCAAGGCUUGUGGGAGAUUUUUGAAGGGGUGAGAAAGCUUCAUAAGGAGAUGGGAAGGGUGGUUGCUGCUGUGGUUUUCUUUGAGAGGGAAGAUUUCCAAUCAAUCUAAUUUGAAAUGUUUCUGAGUUUCAGUUUGAUGGUAGCAUUUAUAAGUUUUGAUCAAGUAGCAAAUUAUUGAAAUUGAUUUGGUCAUCCAUCUCUUUAAUCAAAUUAAGCUUAGUAGAAGAAAGUUUCUAUUGGCCUAAGAUGCGCAGAGACGUCUCCAAGCAUGUGGAGAGGUGCACAAAAUACUAGUCUGUAUACACUUAGAUUUCAAGGAGUGGAGAGCUUCUCAUUGUGCAGGUUGGCCAGUUUGCAAAUUGCCUGAUUGAGGCUAGAAAUGAAUUGCAGCAUAAAUCUGAGAUCAUUCAAUGCAAGUUUACAAUAACAAAGGCACUGCUAUUCAAGGCUGACAGGUCAUCGUUCGACCGCCUUUGUCAACAGACCAUGUACAUGGAUGGUAUCCUCCAGUUUGCAGUUUGUGUCAACAGAACUGUGCUUCAGCGAUCCAGACCAUUGAUACUAUGGGCCCCCACUUUUGAAGGGCAUAUCUCGAAAACCAUUCAGAUGAGAAGACCCUUCCCAACCCAGUUGGAUGAUGAG